UGAAAAUAACUUUACAAAAUCAGUUUAUGGUUAUUUAAAAAAGUGUGAGAAAAGAGGAGCGUACGUACCCGUGUAGACUUUGUCCAUAUAUAUAAGCUUUGAUCUUCUUUGCAUUAUUAACAUCAUUCGCCUUUCCACUAGCAGAUUUGUCUCUUAGCCAAUAAAAGAAACAAAUACAAGAAGAGAGUUAAAACAAGCAAAAGGAUCAAAGGAAACAAAAACAUAAAAGCAAGUAAGAAAGAAUCUACGCACAAAACAAGAGGGAAAAUUGCUUCAUUAGGAGAUUGAUUACGAAGAACUAAAUGCUCAUAAGUGCCAAGACAAAAGAAAUAUACAAUCGCUAACCGGAUGUUAGAAAUAUACAAUCUCUAACUAUCACUAACCGGAUGUAACUCCUAAUACUUUUCACAAAUUACACAUUAAGUUUUCAUUAUCAACCAAAUAAUUU
rnacentral:lncRNA from 1 species